rnacentral:rRNA from 1 species
GACGGAGGAGGCAAGCGUUAUCCGGAAUUAUUGGGCGUAAAGCGUCCGUAGGCGGCUUGGCAAGUCUGGGGUUAAAGGCCGGAGCCUAACUCCGGGUCGGCCCUGGAAACUGCCAGGCUAGAGUAAGGUAGGGGUUGCGGGAAUUCCCGGUGUAGCGGUGAAAUGCGUAGAUAUCGGGAAGAACACCAGUGGCGGAAGCGCGCAACUGGGCCUUUACUGACGCUGAGGGACGAAAGCUAGGGGAGCGAAUGGG